rnacentral:misc_RNA from 1 species
UCUCCGUAGGUGAACCUGCGGAGGGAUCAUUACAGAGUUCAUGCCCUACCGGGUAGAUCUCCCACCCUAUGUUAUUAUUACUUUGUUGCUUUGGCGGGCCGUUAGGCUCCGGCCCGACUACCGGCCCCGGCUGGUAAGCGCCCGCCAGAGGACCCAAAACCCUGAAUAUUAGUGUCGUCUGAGUACUAUAUAAUAGUUAAAACUUUCAACAACGGAUCUCUUGGUUCUGGCAUCGAUGAAGAAGCAGC